GUCGGGUCGGGUUGGGAGAGUUGAACUGUGAUUAUUUUGAUGUCUACCAUGUUCAUAUCUGAGCUCAUUAGUAAACCAAUGCUGAUGUGGAAAAUCUGUUUAUUUUAUUUUUUAAAUAACACUAUUGCUUUUCUAUUAAGUGCAGUAAACUCCAUCUGGAAUACAAAUGGAAGAAAAUUAAAUCUCUGGCCUGUUCCUCUCCUCCUCUAUCUGUUGGGUCUAUUUUAUUGCCCUGCCACUGUCACUGUAGAAUCUUGGAUUCUGAAGUGUAAAAAUCACGGCUCCGCGUGAACCCGGAAAUACCUUCUCAAGGCAGUGAAGUCCACUCUGCUCUUUAUUAUCUCUGUGGCGGACCGCGCUGACGUUUCCCGUCUCUGCGUCCCUCAGCUGCCGCCAGGAGGAGCGGCGGGGCGUCGUCAGGUUCUUCUCUUCUUGCCUUUCCUUGGGAUGAGAGCUUCGAGUGGCUGGAUUGAAGGGUUCCUGCAUUCUGCCAGCUACAGGUUAACAGUUCUGACUGGAGAGGUGCUGUUAUCAGGUUUCUCAUCCUAUUUAAUAAUGAACUGAGGACGAUACCAAAGAAGGCUGCAGAACCACAGUUGCAGUAUAGUUGUUUCUGGUACAAACCGACUACAGUGCUUCUCUCAUUUGAUGCAGAGGAAUGGGUCAGGAGACUUGAGAGAACCAGGUACAAGGCUUGCAGAGAGCAUCGAGGGCUUGAGAACACACUGUCCCUUGGGGCUCUACCUUUAUGCUUUGACCCUGAGAAAGAACAGUUUGUGAAGGACAGAUAGAAACCAGGGCACACAGAGAAACCAAUGAGGGAACAGGUGCCAUGUCAGCAGCUUUAUAUAGGAGUUUUUGCUGAGGUGCAAUCAGCACAGAGGGAAGUGGCCUGACCUUCCUACCCUACAGAUUUAUUCGGCAAAGAUACGUGGCAGCUUUCCACUCGAGCUGUAACAGCAAGGACCAGCUGGAGAGAUUAUGAAACACAAGGACUCUGUGCUCUAUUCUUGUGUUUGUGGCUGAAAUGCCGUAAUAAGGCAUUGGAAAAAGAAAUGAAGCGAAAGCUUAUCAUAAGCAUUCACAUUUUCCUCCUGAGGACUUCCAGUGCAGCACUCCUAGAGGAAACUACUCUCUGGCAAGUGUGGAAAACACAGAAUAAUAAAUGAAGAGGUUGUUUAUAAUUAACAUAGUACUGGUAAGAGCACCCAAACCCAUCAAGUGGCUGGUUGGUUCUUAAGUUAUCUAGAAUGGUUACAGCUUUCCUUUGGCUGCUUUCCAUACAGUUCUGGGAAGGCCAGUCACAGGAAAACCACAUGGGAGGGGUGAAUGAUGCAGUUACGGUACUUCCUGUGCUCUUCCCUUCACCUCUCCUGAGUCUGGCUGCUGUAGUGUAGGGAGAUAAGCAUGCCAUAUGUCCCUCCCCCACAAAUGGAUAUUUUGCUUUUAAUUUUAUACUCUGUUUCUACAAAUUGCACCCUAAGUUGUGUACAAACACCUGACAGAAAGUACAGUUGACUUGCAACCUGCGCACACUUAACUUGUGCAAUUAUAGCUUUACAUGUUUGGCAGCUUGGCAGCAUGCAAUCGCACAAAUUAAAGACUCCCAUGCAAGGCAGAGAGCUUGAAAGCUCUUUCUACACCACAUUUUCCCACUGCAGAAAACUUUAAGCUCUCUGCCUUGCUUCCCAGGCUCUGGAAAAGUCUCACCAGGACUCUGGGCUUAAAAACUCUCUGCCUUGCAUGGGAGGCAAGAUCCGCUCAGUGCACCAGCUCCAGAAAGGUAGGAAUGGUCACCAGUGCUUUUUUUCUGGGGGUACUCAAGGGUCAGCCAUACCGGCAUCUUUUUUCUAGAAGGAAAACACUGAUGGUCGCACAUGUUCAGUUGUGGGGUUGUUCUGGCUAUAAGCAAUUUCGCACAGUCCCUGGAACCUAACCCUCAUGCAAGUUGUCUAUAUUAAAAAUGACUACACACUGUUUAUAAUAUAACACUGUUAACCAAAAUAUAAAUAUUUGUAGACCAAAUAGGAAAUAGGCACAAAUGAAUACAAUCUAGAGACACUGCUUUUUCUUCUCCAGUGGAUCACUUAGCAGCUGCUGAGAGCUGUGAUACCAGCCUGUUUCCUGGACCAGGUGCUUCUUAAACUGAUUCAGCAAGACACAUUCUUAAGCAAGAAUGCCCAUUAAAGAUCUCUUAAUACACAUUAGUUAUGCAUUGGCUCUUAAGGACUACUGAAGAUACACUCUUGCUUCAUAGAUUUAAAAUGUGUUGGUGGACCAUAGGGAUUCUAGGAUUAAAAAAAAGAACAAGACUGAAAUAAGCUUAUCCUCAGGCAUCAUUCCACUGAGGAAAAGAAGCACCCGAUAGCUAACAAUAAGUGAUCUAUAUAGUUUUUGUCUAAUAAUUGCAUCAGUCAGUUGACCAAGAUGGCUCUUAAUAAUUUCAUUUAUGGACAGGAGGAGACUUGUUUGCUAGGUUCAAGAGAAUAGGCUUAUUCAACCCCUCCACUGCUGUUCUUCCAGCUAUAAUGUACUAAACAUGCCAUAGGAUGUUAUUCACAGGCUUCUACCUGUAGGUCAGCUCACAUUCUUUCCUGUUCACAGCAAGAUAAUUAGCACCGGGCUAUUUUGCCUUUGCCUAGAGCUAAAUAACAUUUCAUACUCAACAGGUACUCAACAGGUACAUAGUUUACUGGUGACUCAACAACUGAAACCCCUUUUCUUUCUCAACAAAACGUUUCAUAAUGAUUGGCUAAAAUGUGUUAGAUGUUUCAGAGUUAACCUAGCAUUCCUGAAAUGGUGGUCCAGGAGGAUUUGCUAAUAUGACAACAGGGAGCAAUGCAGCUUAAGGGCAAAACUGUGCAUCUCUGAAGCUCGGGAAUCCCACAGUAGGACCCUUUUGAUUUUAUUGAUGGGUGAUAUUUGCUAGAGAGAUACUUCUUGUGUACCACAGUCAUAACUAUUGUACAUAUCCAAAUCUAUGUUUUCAGUUCCAUUGAAUUCAAUGGGAAAACUUGUUUCCUUAGAGAUCUUUUUAAUACAACAUAAAUGGAAACUAGCAGAACUAGAA